UUUCCGUAGGUGAACCUGCGGAAGGAUCAUUACUGAGUGAGGGCCCCUCGGGGUCCAACCUCCCACCCGUGUUUAACGAACCUUGUUGCUUCGGCGGGCCCGCCUCACGGCCGCCGGAGGGCAUCUGCCCCCGGGCCCGCGCCCGCCGAAGCCACCUGUGAACGCUGUCUGAAGUAUGCAGUCUGAGACAAUUAUUAAAUUAAUUAAAACUUUCAACAACGGAUCUCUUGGUUCCG
rnacentral:misc_RNA from 1 species